AGUGAACGCUGGCGGCGGGCCUAAUACAUGCAAGUCGACGACAGCGGCGCACGGGUGAGUAAUGUAUAGCUAAUCUUCUCUACACUAGAGGACAACAGUUGGAAACGGCUGCUAAUACUCUAUGUGUAGGAUGAGGCUAUAUUGUAUUAGUUAGUUGGUGAGGUAGUGGCUCACCAAGGCUAUGACGCAUAACUGGUCUGAGAGGAUGAUCAGCCACACUGGAACUGAGACACGGUCCAGACUCCUACGGGAGGCAGCAGUAGGGAAUCUUCGGCAAUGGGGGAAAGUCUGACCGAGCAACGCCGCGUGAGUGAAGAAGGUUUUCGGGUCGUAAAACUCUGUUGUUAGAGAAGCGGUAUCUACCCAGAAAGCCACGGCUAACUACGUGCCAGCAGCCGCGGUAAUUC
rnacentral:rRNA from 1 species